rnacentral:tRNA from 1 species
CGACAAUAUAUGGGAAUCGAACACACAGUGUUCCGCUUACCGGGCAGAUGCCAUGUCCACUAGGCUAC